ensembl:lncRNA
CACACACUCUCUGAGUCCAUCUAUUGGCAGGGUUUACCUCCAGACCCAUACACUCUCUGAGUCCAUCUAUUGGCAGGGUUUACCUCCAGACCCACACACUCUCUGAGUCCAUCUAUUGGCAGGGUUUACCUCCAGACCCACACACUCUCUGAGUCCAUCUAUUGGCAGGGUUUACCUCCAGACCCACACACUCUCUGAGUCCAUCUAUUGGCAGGGUUUACCUCCAGACCCACACACUCUCUGAGUCCAUCUAUUGACAGGGUUUACCUCCAGACCCACACACUCGCUGAGUCCAUCUAUUGGCAGGGUUUACCUCCAGACCCACACAUGAUGUUUAUGGUGCUGUCAAAGUGACCAUGUGGUCCAGUAGAUGGAGUGGUUGUGGUGGUAUAAAGGCCCAUAGCUACACAGACUGGACACAUUAAUCAGUGUCCAAUUUACACAGCACCAUCCAGAGGAGAAGAUGGGUUCUGAACUUCUGAAUGCAAACAUAAAGGGCAUCUGUUAGGCAUUGGGUUUAACAGACCUAGGGCUAGGCUAGACGAAGGGUUUAACAGACCUAGGGCUAGGCUAGACGAAGGGUUUAACAGACCUAGGGCUAGGCUAGACGAAGGGUUUACCAGACCUAGGUUUAGAGGAAGGGAUCCCCAUGACAACAUCAACUGAAUUACAAUAUGAACAUCUAAAAUGGUGGGUAGCCUGGAGAGGAGGAGGAGGGGGGGUGAAUGGAGAAAUUAAUGAACAGGGUAGAGAGAGCCCAUCCCACCCUCACCAGGGCCUCUCGUCUCUGAAGUCCGCGCCCGCCCCGUUUCUCUCUCUCUCCUCUCCCUGCCUGAUGCUGCCAGCCAGCAGGGAAACUAGGUCACUGAACUCUGUCUGCUCUCUGUUUUUUUGUAUAUAAAUUAAAGCCAAAAGGCUGAACUCUCUCACUCCCUCUCUAGCCGGUCAGCGGUCGCCACAAAGCUUUUCACCAGAGGGUUAGAGUAAAAAACACACAAGCAGGCACACACAAACAGGCACACACAAACAGGCACACACACACACAAACAGGCACACACACACAAACAGGCACAAACAAACAGGCACACACAUACACAAACAGGCACACACACACACAAACAGGCACACACACACACACAAACAGGCACACACACACAAACAGGCAUAUACACACACAAACAGACAGGCACACACAAACAGGCACGCAUGCAGACAGACAGGGUAAAACACUAAAACAUGCAUGUGGCACUCACACACACAGUAAACAAACCCAGAUAUCCAGUAUAAUCCUCUCUGGCUAAAUAUGUUUGGGGUUUGUAAGGAGAGGGUUAAAAUAAGUAAUGUUGUGCAGGAGGCUGCAGUGCAGGAGGCUGCAGUGCAGGAGGCUGCAGUGCAGGAGGCUGCAUGCAGUGCAGGAGGCUGCAUGCAGUGCAGGAGGCUGCAUGCAGUGCAGGAGGCUGCAUGCAGUGCAGGAGGCUGCAGUGCAGGAGGCUGCAGUGCUGUCUCUGACAAGACAAGGGAGGAUUUGUGCUGUGCAGAUUCACUGCACAUUUCUAUUUCUGCCUCGGCCACUCUUAAUCACUGUGGUCACACACACACACGGAGAGUGCUCCACACAUGGACACACUCUCUAGCCUCCUCUUUGGUGGCCAGCAUUUCUAUCUCCCUCCAGGCAGGCAUGGUAGAAGCAAACCACCUCCAUGUCAGUGGACCAACCUCCAGUGUGAUUUCAGAGUCAGAUGAUGUCACCGGUAACAGGUGUUAAUAAGUAGGCUAGGUUUCCCUGGCAACAGUGGAAUCCUCAAACAUGACUGUUCUCCCCAGUCCAAUCCCCUCUGUCCUUUCAUCCCUUCAUCUCUCUCUCCUCCUCUGUCUCUCUUGCUCAUUGAAGCCAGAGAGAGAUAGAGGAGUGUUCUGGUAGCGUGGUCCCAGAUCUGUUUGUUCAGUCUGGCGAAUUCAUGACAAUGACAAUAGGAGUUGGCUAGACAGCACAAAUGGAUCUGGGACCAGGCUAGGGUUCUAGGCUGCUGGGUGGAGAAAGCUGAAAUUGACACGGAUCCUAUUCCAGGUUCCACAUAUUUCAAUAUAAAAUAAGCUGUUUGAAUCAUUAACCCUUUGGGCACGUUCUGUCAUGUAAUGUUCUGCACUUUUGUCUUCCCCAGGAGUCUAUAUUAUAGGGGAUGUGCCAAUUGCCAACAGUUGAAAAUGUCAAAUGUAUAAGUCAACUGAUUCUCAGUGGGUUGAUAUGGUUCUAUAAUUUGCUGGUUUUGAGGAUCAAUAGCAAUAACUUUUAUGUUGGAUUUAUGUUUUCUUUUUUAGAAUGAACCCCUAUCUGUCAUAGUUGAAAAGAAGCGGUACUUUUUACCCGAAAGGGUUAAAAACAAGAAGCUAAUUGACGCCAAUGAAUAAUGAAGCUAUAACGAGAGUCACAGUAUGUGCUGAACACAGGAACAUCUGGGGCACUAAAUUGUGAUAGCUAGCAAUAUUAGUGCCACUUACAAGGGAUGCCAUUCAUUGACUGAAGUGCCACAGCAGUGCACAAAGGGUUAAUUCAAGACUAAGGCCACCAGAGGCCUGUAUCCAAGUUAUUUUUUGCACAUUUUUUGAGAUAUUUUAAAUGUCAGUAUUUUAAAACAUAUUCCAAGUGCCUUUUAUUAUAAGUGAAAAUAUAGAAGAUAUAAAAGUAUAUGAAAAAUGAAAUAAAUAUAUAUAUAUAUGAAUAUAUAUUUUUUCCUGGGAUCGUGUUCUCGAGGUUCUUGAACAUGCUUCAUUUUAGAGUUGUAAAAGUCUCCCAUUGGUACAACAUAGCUGUGUGCUUCUGUUUUAGAGGAAUUUUAUUACGAUAAUGUCAAUGAAAGAAAAUGUUUAAUAAAGUCGCAUUUGAU